AUAAUAAGGUUAUUUAAAACAUUGAUUUAAUGGCAGACUUUAUGAAUUGGAAUGCAGAAUAUGUUGCCAUAGAAAUUUGUGAUAUAAAGUAAUGGAAAUUGUUGGUAUUUAUAAAAGGAAGAUUGUUUUGAAAAUAAUCUAGCUUGUAGUGCGAAUUUUUUAAAAAAAGUCUCUGAGGAGUGACGAAACUGUAACUUGCAACAAACUUUUUUCAGAGUUGAAAACAUGGUAAUUGAUUAUCAGAAAUGUAGUUGGUCUGCGUUAGCAAAAGAUUCAACAUCAAGCUGUCUUUGCAAAGUUGAUAUAAAAGAUAUUUAAAUUUCAAUAUCUUUGCUCUUCAACAUUGAUGAUUUUCCAAACGCAACUCUUGGCUUAUUGACGUUUGUUAUAUUACUUAUUUAAAUCAACAGAAUACUAAAUCUGAAAAAUGUUUUAUAUAUUACAGGUUGUGCACCAGGACAAAACUUUUUCAUUUUUAUUAGCUUAUAAGAAUUUUUUAUAUAUAGAGGUAUUUAGUAAAUAAAAUUUGAAAUAAUUAUGAGAAAAUUCAAACAAGACAUACUUGUUAAGAGGU